rnacentral:misc_RNA from 1 species
GAAGAAUGCAUAUUUGUGCAUAUCCCAUGUUAUCUAAGACUACUUCUUUACUUAGAUUAAAAUAAAAUUUAAAUUUUAAAGAGAGAAGUUUAAGAACAAAAAAGAGGCCUAGAUGUGGAGCUAGCCACAAUCUUAGGGCUGCAGGAUCUCAUGUUAAUUAUGAGACUAAAAUGGAAAACCAGAGGACUCUACACCACUAUAUGGAAAGCUCCCAGGAGAAGGGGAAAAAAGUUUUUCCAAGAAUGGAACUAACCUACAUC